GACGAACGCUGGCGGCGUGCUUAACACAUGCAAGUCGAACGGAAAGGCCCUGCUUUUGUGGGGUGCUCGAGUGGCGAACGGGUGAGUAACACGUGAGUAACCUGCCCUUGACUUUGGGAUAACUUCGGGAAACUGGGGCUAAUACCGGAUAGGAGCUCCUGCUGCAUGGUGGGGGUUGGAAAGUUUCGGCGGUUGGGGAUGGACUCGCGGCUUAUCAGCUUGUUGGGGGGGUAGUGGCUUACCAAGGCUUUGACGGGUAGCCGGCCUGAGAGGGUGACCGGCCACAUUGGUCCUGCGAGACGGCCCAGACUCCUACGGGAGGCAGCAGUGGGGAAUAUUGCACAAUGGGCGGAAGCCUGAUGCAGCAACGCCGCGUGCGUGAUGACGGCCUUCGGGUUGUAAACCGCUUUCGCCUGUGACGAAGCGUGAGUGACGGUAAUGGGUAAAGAAGCACCGGCUAACUACGUG
rnacentral:rRNA from 1 species